AGUGAACGCUGGCGGUAGGCCUAACACAUGCAAGUCGAACGGCAGCACAGUAAGAGCUUGCUCUUACGGGUGGCGAGUGGCGGACGGGUGAGGAAUACAUCGGAAUCUACUUUUUCGUGGGGGAUAACGUAGGGAAACUUACGCUAAUACCGCAUACGACCUACGGGUGAAAGCAGGGGAUCUUCGGACCUUGCGCGAUUGAAUGAGCCGAUGUCGGAUUAGCUAGUUGGCGGGGUAAAGGCCCACCAAGGCGACGAUCCGUAGCUGGUCUGAGAGGAUGAUCAGCCACACUGGAACUGAGACACGAUCCAGACUCCUACGGGAGGCAGCAGUGGGGAAUAUUGGACAAUGGGCGCAAGCCUGAUCCAGCCAUACCGCGUGGGUGAAGAAGGCCUUCGGGUUGUAAAGCCCUUUUGUUGGGAAAGAAAAGCAGCAGGUUAAUACCCGGCUGUUCUGACGGUACCCAAAGAAUAAGCACCGGCUAACUUCGUG
rnacentral:rRNA from 1 species